CCUACAUGAAGUCGGAAUCGCUAGUAAUCGCGGAUCAGCACGCCGCGGUGAAUACGUUCCCGGGCCUUGUACACACCGCCCGUCACACCACGAGAGUUUGUAACACCCGAAGUCGGUGAGGUAACCUUUGGAGCCAGCCGCCUAAGGUGGGAUAGAUGAUUGGGGUGAAGUCGUAACAAGGUAAC
rnacentral:rRNA from 1 species